CUGUAGAUUCCCCACAGGCAGGGUGGUAGCAGUGAACAAGUGGUUCAAAGUGCUCUUGGAGCUGGGGUAGACUUUGCGGCUGAUGCCAUUCAAAAACGUUUAACUGGGAAAUCAAAUAGAAAAACGAAAAGGAGACAAACAAACAAACGGAAUACAAAAAAUCGAAGAAUUACUAUAAAACAACAUAAAAGGAAACAACGUCCAAGGAUAACUACCAGUCGUGCUAGAACCAGGACAGUGUUAAGAUCUAGAGCUCCAGAUAUUUUCGACGAAUAAGUCACCUCACUAAAACAUGGCAUUUGUACAUAACGAUUCUUGUGAAUGUGUGAAGUCUGAAUUGGACCUUUUCACCAUACCUCCCACACAAACAAGUAUUGAACAAGGACAGUGGAUUGAAUAUCAUCCUAUAGCACAAUUUUUUCGACAAUGGACCGAUUGAAUUCCACAUUUCGGGAUCAGGAGGGGAAUACCUGGAUUUUUCUCAAAGUCAGAUCUACACGAAGGUUAAGGUGACAAAGUCAGACGGUUCAAAUCUUUCUGAAACAGAUGAGGAUCAUUCAAAGAGUAACGAUAUGGAACGAGGUGGAGCAUUACACCCUUCGUCUUCAACGGUUGAACACACACUCAAUCAAUAUCAAGAUGAAUAGCCGAUCUCUUUGGAGGAGCUCAUCGUGGACUAUUUUACGAUUCGUGAUGCUGUAAAUAAGAGAGUGAUCAAGAAAUUUGCAACAGAGGCUUCGGAAUAUAAAGUAGAUAUUAAAAGUUUGGAACCUCUUCUUCAAGAGCACCCAGCAGAUAGAGUGGUCAGUGUACUUCUCCAACGGAUCCUGGAUCGUUUGACGGAACAUUGUGAGGAUCAAGAUAGGGUAGGAAUUACCAUUUCCUCAUCUGGUCUUGAGCGGGACAUAGGAAUACCUCUUACUCGAACGGUAUUGUGAUACGAAUAUUACGGGUAAAGAUGCCAAGGGGUGGUGUGCGAUCAGAAACAUCUCUCCCACAUAAGAAAAUGGUUUUAAAAAAACACCGAUUUAUUGAGAUUAAAAACAAGGACAAUAUGUGUUGUGCACGUGCAUUGGUAAUUGCAAUGGCACGUGAACAUAAAGAUAAAAAUACAAAACAUAAGUCUCGUUUUGAAACUUUACGGAGACAAAAAUAAAGGUUUACUGGAGGUGAAGGCUAAACGUUUAUGUAAAAAAGUAGGGCAUGAUCAUACGAAACAAGUAGAACUCGAGGAUCUACAAAAAUUCCAAAACUGUUUAGUGAAAAAGAACUUUCAAAUAUUGGUAUAUUCAAAUAAUAUGGAGUUAAGAGAACCCAUAUUUAAAGGACCUCCAAAGAAGCACACCAUCGCCUUAGUGUACCACAAUAACCAUUACGAUGUUAUUACUAAAUUACAUUCAUUCAUGCGAAGUAAUGCAUAUUGUUUUACUUGUAAUAAGUCUUAUGAAUGGACAUUAAGACAUCGAUGUAAAGGUGAUUGUGUCUGUUGUAGAUUAAAAGGAGCCAAGUGUAAAAUCGAGUCAUCUGGUAAAUGGAGAUUCUGCAAAAAGUGUAGACGAUACUUUAAGAAUAAGGAUUGUUUUCGCAAUCAUCUUAAACCUCAAGGGAAAAAAACCCGUUGUCAACCUGUGAAAGAGUAUAUAAAUGUAAGAAAUGUCAUACAUUGAUAGAUACCAGUAAAAGUAAGAAACGUGUAUGUGGUAUGAUUUAUUGUGCUAGAUGUAAGAUAACUGAUACAAAGAAUCAUAAAUGUUACAUGUUAUCCUUGAAUGAAAAAGUGAAGAAAGAGAUGUAAAGACGAAAGGUAGAAAAGUAGGUCGACCUAAAAAGAGGGAUUCUCAAGAUGAGAUAACUAACGAUAAUGACAAGAAACAUGACAUGUUUAUCUUUUACGAUUUUGAAUGUCGUCAGGAUGAAAAAAGGGUGAAAAUAAAAAUGGUACUGUGUAUUCACAUAUUCCGAAUCUUUGCAUUGCUUACAAAGUUUGUAAAUUUUGUUGGGAUAGUAAAUCAAGUUGUGACAACUGUGGAGAAAGAGAAACUAUUUUUAGAGGUGAUAACACUUUAGAUACUUUUGCGGGAUGGUUGUUUACAGAACAUAGUGAUUGCAAAAUUACUGCAAUAGCCCACAAUGCUUCGGGUUACGAUGCACACUUCCUUUUAAAUUAUGUUGAAUCUAAAGCUAUUAAGAACAAAGUUAUUCUGAAUGGUAAAAAGAUACUUUCAUUGAAGGUUAAUAAUGUACAUGUGAUUGAUUCUUUGAACUUUAUCCUAAUGCCUCUAAGUAACUUUCCGAGUACCUUCGGGUUUUCUGAACUCAAGAAGGGAUUUUUUCCUCAUCUUUUCAAUCGUAAAGAAAAUCAGAAUUAUAUUGGACCUUUGCCAGAUUCAAAGUAUUACGAUCCAGCUGGUAUGACACCGUCCAAACGGACUAAAUUUCAAAAGUGGUACGACACUCAAAAGGACAAAACAUUUGAUUUUCAAAAGGAAAUUACUGAAUAUUGUCGAAGUGAUGUUGACAUACUCAUGAAUGGUUGUAUGACACUCAGGAAUAUUUUUAUAGAUAUUACCAACAUUGAUCCCUUUCAUCAGAUAACUAUCGCUUCGACAUGUUCAGUGAUCUUCCGUAGGUUAUUUCUUAAGCAAGAUACAAUAGGUUUAAUUCCAAAUGGUGGAUAUCGAUCCAAUGACAAACACUCAGAAAUAGCUAUGAAAUGGUUAAUGUGGAUGAUGCAUACAGAGAAUGUAGAUUUAAAACAUGCUAGGAAUGGUGGUGAAAAAAAGGAUAGGACCUUAUAUGGUAGAUGGUUACGAUGAACGUACAAAUACCAUUUAUGAAUUCAAUGGGUGUUUAUGGCAUGGUUGUCCUCGAUGUUACGUUCGUCGAAAUACCCUCGUUCCUGGAAGUACCAACACUGUUCAAGAGGUUUACGAAAGUACUUUACAAAGGGGAUACUUUUUCAGAACUGGUCAUUAUAAUGUCGUUUCUCAAUGGGAAUGUGACUUCAUGAAAGAAAUGAAUGAAAAUGAUGAAUUACGAAUGUUCAUUAACAAAAUAAAACACGUCGAACCUCUGAAUCCUAGGGAUGCCUACUAUGGUGGUCGAACAAAUGCUACCCAACUAGUCAGGGAAGUAGAAGAGAAUGAUAAAAUAAGAUAUGUUGAUGUAUGUAGUUUGUACCCUUGGGUAUGUAAAUAUAAAGAAUUUCCCAUUGGCCAUCCACGAAUCAUUAUGGAAAACUUCGAAUCACCUGAGAAUUAUUUUGGUUUAAUUCAUUGUACCGUAUCCCCUCCUAGAGGUCUUUACAAUCCUGUUUCGUGCAAACAAUAAAUUGCUAUUUCCUUUGUGUCGUAGCUGUAGUGUGAACAAAUUAAGACAUUGUUCACAUUCAGAAGAAGAACGUUACCUGACGGCUACAUGGGUAACGGAAGAACUAAAAAAAGCGCUUUCCUUGGGUUAUCGUAUUGUCACAAUAUUUGAAGUGUGGCAUUACAAUGAAUCCUCCCAAUAUGAUGUAGAACAAAACGAAGGUGGUUUAUUCACAGAAUAUGUGAAUACGUUUCUAAAAUUAAAACAGGAGGCGAGUGGAUGGCCUUCAAAUUGUAUACCAAACGAGGAUCAAUCUCUGGAAUCUCCUGAAAUAAAAGAAGCACGUAGGACAUACAUUGAAUCGUAUCAUAAACAUGAAGGUGUACUCCUCAAUCCAAGUAACAUCAGGGUUAAUAAAGGAUUAAGGACUGUUUCGAAAUAUUGCCUCAAUUCCUUUUACGGUAAAUUUGGGCAAAGAAGUAAUUUACCCCAAACUGAAUACAUUGCAGACUCUUCCGUCUUCUUUCAAAGAAUGACCGAUCAGUCUAUAAUCAUCAAAGACAUCCACUUUGUGUCAGAUCAGCUGGUUCGUAUUCAAUACGAUUCUGAUGAACCAUUUAUAGAUAUUCUACCAAAUACUAAUGUUGUGAUUGCAGCGUUUACGACAUGUUAUGCUCGUUUAAAACUUUAUUCGUAUUUAGAAAACUUACAACGUAAUGUUUUAUAUUACGAUACUGAUUCCAUCAUUUACCUCGACGAUGGUACCGUUCCUAGUGUACCGACUGGAAAUUACCUCGGUGAUAUGACCGACGAACUCGAAAAAGACUUUGGUUCUGGUAGUUAUAUCACAAGGUUUGUCAGUGGUGGACCUAAACAAUACAGUUACAAAGUAUGGUCCACCAAACAGAAUAAAGAGGUUCCAGGUACCUGUAAAGUCAGAGGUAUAACGCUUAACUACAAAAAUACUGAGAAAAUAAAUUUUUCCAGUAUUUCACAUAUGAUUGAUAAUCAAGAAUCUUGUAAUGUAGUAAAUAACCAUCAUAAAAUUGCUCGGGAGAAAUUAGGUUCUAUUGUAACAUGUAAUGAAGUAAAGACACAUCGUUUUGUUUACGACAAACGUGUUCUAUUGGAUGAUUUUGAUACCAUUCCAUAUGGAUUUUAGUUCAUAAUUUGCUCUCUUGAGGUCCACCAAACAGAAUAAAGAGGUUCCAGGUACC